AGCUGUGAUGAGCACUGCUUCAUUCUGACACCUCUUGUAUGAGAAGCACGCCUAUCACUUGAGAAGUUGAGAGGCCCGUCGCUGAGCAGAGUAUAGCAACUAUCUAAGCU